rnacentral:misc_RNA from 1 species
GGAAAGUGCUACAUUUCCAUUCAAUUAUGUCCUUUGUACUUUCUAGAAGGAAAAAUGUUGUAAAACACACUAUAAUGUAGUAGGAAUCAUAUUCCAAAUGCCAUAUAGUGAAGAAUUAAGCUACUAUGUUGGUGAUGCAGGUCACCAAUAAAAGGAAUUCAGAAACAACAAUACAAACACAAGCGAAAUAAAUAUGAAAGCUUCAAGUCAACUUGGUUCAAGCAACACUCACUU